GAUGAACGCUGGCGGCGUGCUUAACACAUGCAAGUCGAACGGUGAAGCAGGAGCUUGCUCUUGUGGAUCAGUGGCGAACGGGUGAGUAACACGUGAGCAACCUGCCCCUGACUCUGGGAUAAGCGCUGGAAACGGCGUCUAAUACUGGAUAUGUGAUGUGACCGCAUGGUCUGCAUCUGGAAAGAAUUUCGGUUGGGGAUGGGCUCGCGGCCUAUCUGCUUGUUGGUGAGGUAAUGGCUCACCAAGGCGUCGACGGGUAGCCGGCCUGAGAGGGUGACCGGCCACACUGGGACUGAGACACGGCCCAGACUCCUACGGGAGGCAGCAGUGGGGAAUAUUGCACAAUGGGCGGAAGCCUGAUGCAGCAACGCCGCGUGAGGGAUGACGGCCUUCGGGUUGUAAACCUAUUUUAGCAGGGAAGAAGCGAAAGUGACGGUACCUGCAGAAAAAGCACCGGCUAACUACGUGCCAGCCGCCGCAGUAA
rnacentral:rRNA from 1 species